GCUUAACACAUGCAAGUCGAACGGGAUUUAGUAAACGGAAGCCUCGGUGGAAGAUUACUAAUGAGAGUGGCGAACGGGUGAGUAACGCGUGAGCAACCUGCCUAUGACAGUGGGAUAGCCUCGGGAAACCGGGAUUAAUACCGCAUAAAAUCGUAGAAACACAUGUUUCAACGGUCAAAGAUUUAUCGGUCAUAGAUGGGCUCGCGUCUGAUUAGCUAGUUGGUGAGAUAACAGCCCACCAAGGCGACGAUCAGUAGCCGGUCUGAGAGGAUGAACGGCCACAUUGGAACUGAGACACGGUCCAAACUCCUACGGGAGGCAGCAGUGGGGAAUAUUGCACAAUGGGGGAAACCCUGAUGCAGCGACGCCGCGUGAACGAAGAAGGUAUUCGUAUCGUAAAGUUCUGUCCUAUGGGAAGAUAAUGACAGUACCAUAGAAGAAAGCUCCGGCUAAAUACGUGCCAGCAGCCGCGGUAAUACGUAUGGAGCGAGCGUUGUCCGGAAUUAUUGGGCGUAAAGGGUACGCAGGCGGUUUAAUAAGUCGAAUGUUAAAGAUCGGGGCUCAACCCCGUAAAGCAUUGGAAACUGAUAAACUUGAGUAGUGGAGAGGAAAGUGGAAUUCCUAGUGUAGUGGUGAAAUACGUAGAUAUUAGGAGGAAUACCAGUAGCGAAGGCGACUUU
rnacentral:rRNA from 1 species